rnacentral:misc_RNA from 1 species
UUUCCGUAGGUGAACCUGCGGAAGGAUCAUUAACGAAUUGCGUUCGGGGUUGUUGCUGGCUCUCCUUUCGGGGGGGAGUAUGUGCACGCCUCGCAUCCAUUUCAACCUCACUCGUGCACUUCAGAGGACCUUUUGGUUCUCUUUUUCACACAAACCUCUGUAUAGUCAUUGUAGAACGUCUUGUAUUAAACUAAAUACAACUUUCAACAACGGAUCUCUUGGCUCUC